rnacentral:rRNA from 1 species
UUUAUGGAGAGUUUGAUCCUGGCUCAGGAUGAACGCUGGCGGCGUGCCUAAUACAUGCAAGUCGAGCGAACGGACGAGAAGCUUGCUUCUCUGAUGUUAGCGGCGGACGGGUGAGUAACACGUGGAUAACCUACCUAUAAGACUGGGAUAACUUCGGGAAACCGGAGCUAAUACCGGAUAAUAUUUUGAACCGCAUGGUUCAAAAGUGAAAGACGGUCUUGCUGUCACUUAUAGAUGGAUCCGCGCUGCAUUAGCUAGUUGGUAAGGUAACGGCUUACCAAGGCAACGAUGCAUAGCCGACCUGAGAGGGUGAUCGGCCACACUGGAACUGAGACACGGUCCAGACUCCUACGGGAGGCAGCAGUAGGGAAUCUUCCGCAAUGGGCGAAAGCCUGACGGAGCAACGCCGCGUGAGUGAUGAAGGUCUUCGGAUCGUAAAACUCUGUUAUUAGGGAAGAACAUAUGUGUAAGUAACUGUGCACAUCUUGACGGUACCUAAUCAGAAAGCCACGGCUAACUACGUGCCAGCAGCCGCGGUAAUACGUAGGUGGCAAGCGUUAUCCGGAAUUAUUGGGCGUAAAGCGCGCGUAGGCGGUUUUUUAAGUCUGAUGUGAAAGCCCACGGCUCAACCGUGGAGGGUCAUUGGAAACUGGAAAACUUGAGUGCAGAAGAGGAAAGUGGAAUUCCA